GAAAAUUGUAAAGGAGUUUUUGAAGGAUUGAAAUCAUUGGUGGAUUUAGGAGGCGGCACUGGAACCGUGGCUAAGUUUAUUGCCAAUGCAUUUCCACAAAUAAAUUGCACUGUCUUGGAUCUGCCGCAUGUAGUUGAAGGGUGUGAAGGGAGCAAGAACCUGAUCUAUGUCGGAGGAGACAUGUUUAAGUUCAUUCCUCCUGCUGAUGUAAUUUUACUGGAGGUAAUUAUUUAAUCAAUUACAUGAACUAUAUAUAACAUUCGGUCUCUUUUUAAUAUCCCUAAGUUGUCUCUUGUUUAAUUGAGUAAUAAUAUGCAUGCUUCUACAAAUGACAAGCAGUCGAUAUUACAUGAUUGGAGCGAUGAUUAUUGCAUCAAAAUAUUGAAGAAAUGUAAAGAAGCAAUUCCAAGUAAGGAGAAUGGAGGAAAGCUAAUCGUCAUUGAGAUAGUGAUGGAUCACAACCGAGACCACAAGUCAUACGAAACUCAACUCUUCCUGGACAUGCUUAUGAUGGUUGGUGUUAAUGGAAAAGAAAGAAGUCAACAAGAAUGGGCAAAAAUCUUCUCUAUUGCUGGUUUUAGUGACCACAACAUUAUUCCUAUACUGGGAUUAAGAUGUGUGAUUGAGGUCUACCCUUAAUCCACCGUUUUCACAAACGUUCAAAUAAUACAAGGCUUGGCCAAAUUAUGUGACAUUCCAAUGACAGAAGGUUUGGCCAUAUAGUAGAAGCCAGUAUUAGCACUCUUAUCUUACGUUACCCUGUUUGUGCGUUAUCGGAAGUGUUAUCCUUCAUUUCUCAAUGUUUAAUAAAGUAACCUCUUGUAUUAUAUUUCAUAAUUACUUUAUCAUAUUGUGUUAUCACUUUGUUUGAGAAAAUAUUUCAUAACUAACUGCUAGAGGUCAGUUUUUGAUGAUCGAUUUCUGAGCCAGUUUUAGGCCCUUUUCUAUGGUAGUGCAUUAAACCAAGUCAUAAGAAGAGAUAAUCUUAUGCGACAUUAUGACAAGCAGUGGUAAUUUCUGGAUUUCAAGUCAAUGAGAUUCUGACACACAUAUAAUUUAAUCCGAGCUAACCACACAAGCUUGUGGAGCACCAUAAUUACUCUCUCAUCCUUAAUAAGUGGUUUUAGGUUGGAACUUUGAAAAUGAAGCUUUUUGCUAGAAAGUGUUUUACUUUGAAAGGUGGACUUUCCAACAUGAAUUUAGAAGGGAAAAGGACAUGGGCUGGUCAUUUUAAAAAAAAAAUGGCCCACAUUUGAAAAGGUGGACAUACUAUAGCCAAUCGGCUAAACUAAUUCCCUUUUUUAGUCAUUUGGCCCAAUUGGACACUUGCAGUCUCUAUACUCAAUUGAUACACUUUUAGACCACAUUGAUACACUUUUAUAUUAUAUUUAUACACUUUUUUUUAAAAAAGAAAUUCUAUGCAAGUACGUGCAGUCCCUAUACCCAAUUGAUACUCUUUUAUACCAUAUUGAUACGCUUUUAUACUACGUUGAUACACUUGGAUACCGCAUUGAUACACUUUUAUACUAGAUUGAUAAACUUUUAUACCACGUUGAUACAAUAUAUAUACCACAUAAAUGCACCUUUUACAGAGAAAAUUUAUGCAACCAUAUACAAUAAUUCGUUAUUCGUGAAUUUGUUAACUUCACCUAAAAUUUUGUGAAAAUUUGUGCAAGCAUAUACAAAAUUUAUUAAACCCUAUACCCUUACUGUCCAAACAUUCCUUAAUUUUUUUGAUAAAAAGAGAGAUAGUAGAAAAAAAUAAGUAAAAAUGCCGCUAUAGUGUUAAUUCCUGAAAAAAGAUAGAACAAUUAUGGGUGUACUUGUAUUUUACAUUUUUAUUUUCGUGAUUGCAUCUGAAAAAAUAAAUGGGUGGAAAAGUGGACAUUUUCCAAACAAAAAUUAACAACAUUAAAAGAAAAAAGAAAAAAAAAUAGCGAAAAACAAACAAAAAAAAAAAAAAGAAAGAGAAAUGCAACAUUCAGGAGCCAUUUUGGUGGAAAUGGCUACUAUAUGGUAAUAUGAAUUCAAGGGUCAUUUUUGUGGAAAUAUUUUGGCCGACAGGCCAUUCUCGUCCUUUCCCCAAUUUAGAAUAGUCUGUUGGGUCAUGGCUCUUUUCCCUUCCUAUAUGGAUAAAUAAAGUCCAAUUUGCACCAAUCUACUUUUUUCUAUAGGCCCAUUACUAUGGGACAUAUAUAUAGAUCUUUUUUAGGUGUUAUUCACCAUCACAAAAGAGAGUUUUCAGUAGCCAAAGAGAGAAAAGAAAGCUGAUUUUCGUCAAAAAAUUUCAGCCACAGCUGUCAACUUCAAAUUGCGAUUUUCACUUCGUUUCUUGUCCGAUUGAGCUAAUUUUUGGAUUGCUUGUUUUAAUCAUCUGAAUCUUUGAUUAGGAACUGAUGGAGCUUGAUUUGAUGGCCUGUAGCUCCUGUUCUUCAUUCCCGAAUAGUAGCUGCAUUUUAGUGUUUUUGCUCUUUUAUUUCUCUAGUGUUUGGUGAUGUGGUUUAUGUAUUGUUGCUUGUUCUUUGACACUUGUUUGGUGGCCAUUUUGGAGAACAAUAUUGUAACUUUUUGGUGAUUAUAGUGGAGAUUUUGGUCCCAUUGUUUUUUACUCUUUACACCGAAGGGUUUUCUAUGUAAAUUUGGUGUCUCUUGUUCUUCGUUUUAUUCUUGCCUAAUCGUAUCUGUGUGGUGAUUUAUUUAUUUCCAUAUUAUUUUAUUUUUCUUGAAUUUUCCUGUCUCUUCUUAGUUCAAGUUGAAAGGGAAAGUUUAGAUUUGAGAAUUCUUCCGCUGCUACCCUGUCGGGCUCCUUAAUUGUGCUUUGCCCAUUUCCCAACAAAGUGGUAUUAGAGCGUUGGUUAUUUUUGAUAGUUGAUUUGAAUUAUGGAUGAAAAUAUGAGCAAGAUGGUGUGUUUGAAUGGUAGUAACUAUCAUACUUGGAAAGGCAAGAUGAAAGAUCUUCUCUUUGUCAAGAAAAUGCAUUUACCUGUGUUUGCGUCUACUAAACCUCAAUCCACGACAGAUGAGGAUUGAGAAUUUGAGCACUUACAGGUUUGUGGCUAUAUUAGACAAUGAGUUGAAGAUAAUGUUAGAAACCAUAUUGUGAAUGAGACACAUGCAAGAAGUUUGUGGGACAAGCUCAAGACACUUUAUGUUUCGAAGACUGGCAAUAACAAAUUGUUCCUGCUUAAGCAAUUGAUGAAUAUCAGGUAUAAAGAGGGCAGUCCUAUUUCUGAUCAUAUAAAUAAUUUUCAAGGUGUUCUUGACCAGCUGUCCGGAAUGGGUGUAAAGUUCGAUGAAGAAAUUCAGGAACUUUGGCUUCUUAAUACUCUACCUGACUCUUGGGAAACUCUUCGAGUUUCUUUGACUAAUUCUACUCCCGAUGGUGUUAUAACUAUGAAAUAUGUUAAGAGUGGUGUCUUGAAUGAAGAGAUGAGAAAAAGAUCUCAGGCCUCAUCUUCUUCAUCUUCACACUCUGAUGUUUUGGUUACUGAAGAGAGGGGGAGAAACAAGUCCAGAGGUUCGAAUGAUAGAGAUAAAAGUAGAAGCAAGUCAAGGUCCAAAUUAAAGAAUGUUACAUGUAACUAUUGCAACAAAAAAGAGCAUAUCAUGAAAUAUUAUUACAAGCAUAAGAGAGAUAUGAGACGACAAAAUAACGAAGGCGAUAAUGAAAAUCGUGUUGCGGUUAUUGCUAAUAAUGAUCUUAUUAUUGCUUGCGGUGAGAAUGCCCUUAAUCUUGUUCGUGAUGAGUCUAGCUGGUUUGUGGAUUUUGAUGCUACUUCUUAUGUUAAGUCAAAGAAGGAAUUAUUUUCUUCUUAUACUCUAGGUAAUUUUCGGAUGUUGAAAAUGGGCAAUAAUGAUGAAGUUAAAGUACUUGACAUUCGCACUUUUUGUUUGAAAAGUAACAAUGGUUCCAAACUAGUUCUGAAUAAUAUCAAACAUACUCCAGAUGUUCUCCUGAAUUUGAUUUCUGCAGGAAACCUUGAUGCUGAGGGUUAUGUUAACACCCUUGGUGCUGGCCAAUGGAAGCUUACUAGAGGUUCGAUGAUUGUGGCUCGAGGUGACAAGUUGUCUAAUUUCUACGUAUUUCAGGGCUCUAUUUCUAGAGGCUUGAUAAACUUGGUGGAGAAUGAUACUUCAACAGAGUUGUGGCAUUGAAGGUUAAGUCAUAUGAGUGUGAAGGGUAUUGAUAGUUUGGCUAAAAAAAAAAAUUACUUUUUGGAGUGAAACAAGCAAAGAUAAGGAAGUGUGUUCAUUACUUAGCCGAUAAACAGAAAAGAGUUUCUUUUCAGAGUCAUCCGCCUUCAAGAGAGCUUGAUUUGCUAGAGUUGGUGCAUUCUGAUUUGUGCGGUCCUUUUAAAGUAAGUUCUCAUGGUGGUGCACUUUACUUUGUGACUUUUAUUGAUGAUCAUUCUCGGAAACUCUGGGUAUUUCCUUUAAAGUCCAAGGAUCAAGUACUUGAUGUGUUCAAAGAUUUUCAGUCCUUGGUUGAGAGACAAAAAUGAAAGAAAUUAAAAUGCAUCUGCUCAGAUAAUGGUGGUGAGUAUUGGUCCUUUUGAUAGAUAUUGCAGAGAGCAGGGUAUUCGGCAUCAAAAAACUCCUCCAAAAACUCCUCAGUUGAAUGGUUUUAGCAGUGAGGAUGAACAAAAUUCUAAUUGAGAGGGUUAAAUAUAUGCUUUCAGAUGCUAAGCUGCCAGAUUCUUUUUGGACAGAAGCACUUAAUACUGCUACUUAUGUUAUCAAUUUAUCUCGUACUGUUACUUUGGAUGGUGAUGUACAUGAUAGAGUUUGGUCUAAUAAGAAUGUUUCUUAUGAUCAUUGUAAUACCCCAAAUUUUCUUUAAGUCGAGUUUUAUUCUUAAGAAAAGUAAGGGCUGACUUUCUAAGUGAGAAGUAUUUUAAACCGUGUAGAAUUUCCCUAAUAUCAACUUUUUAUCAUGUAGAGAAUUGAAUAAGCUUUCCUUUGAUACUAAAUUUGCCUAAAUCCAGCACUCGGGCGAAGAGUUAGAGCCAUUUUAGUAAGACAGUGUACCACCUGGGACUUUGGCGCGUCGCGGAGUUAGCCAAAAUGGCAAUCGUCAAAAUAAAGUGAGCCUCCGCGAUUAUGGCACGUCGCGCCAAGGUUUAAUUGCAGAAUUAUCAAAUUCUAGUAGCUCACCGCGAUUCCACCGCAUUGCGGUGAAGCUUUUUUUGGCGUUCCAGUUUUGGAUUUUAAUUCCAAGGACAAAAUGGUCAUUUUACUACCCCUAUAUAUACCCUUUAACACGAGAUUCAUCCAUAUUAAACCCAAAUAUUGUUGUUUUCUCUCAAUUUUCCUCAAGAACAAGAGCUAGGGUUCUAAAAAUCAAGACUCCAAUCAUUAAGAUUUCACCAUUUAUCUUCGGAGGAUCAAGUAGUAAGGUAUGCAGAUGUUGAUUCUUGGGUUCCUUCCACCCAAGAAGUUCAAGAAUCCCUUUUUAAAUUCAAAUAUUGUGAUUUAUGAGUUUUUAUGAUUAAUGUGAAUCGAAGUUCAUGUUCAUGUUAUUGUUGAGUUAUAAUUCAUGCUUUAGAAUACAAGUUGCAAGCUUUGAUCUUGAUUUGAGUUGAAUUGCACUAUAUCCAUGUUAAAUCCCUAAAGUUGCAUGUUGAUUGAUGUAUUUAUGAUAAUUAGGUGUGGAAAUUGUUGAAUAACCAAAGCAUGCUUCCCAUAUGUUUAAUAAAAUGCUUAUGUGAUGGAAUUAGAGCCAUUAUAACAUGCUGACUAGAAAUCCCUAAUUGUGUGUAAGUUCAUGCAUGCCACGUGUUUUUGGAAAAGCCUUAGUGAAUGAAUUGUGACAUGUUAGCAUGAAAUUCCCCAAUUAUGUGCCCUUCAAUGCAUGUUAAGUGUUUGUUGUAAGACCUUGUUGAAUGGAGUAUGAGCCAAUAACAUGUCUCCCUAUACUACCACAUGUUUAUGAAUCCCAAGUAUUUGGAGAGAUGCUUUAAUGAUUGUAAUGGCGAAUGAAAGCCCAUGGUCAUGAUUAUUCAAGAAUGGUUAUGUUUACUAUUAUGUUAUCGAGUCCUGGGGGUAUUUAUAUCCGAUAAUUUAGCUACAAGUCUAGAGCCCGUGUCAGUUUUCACUAUUAUCUCAGUCAAGCCACGAUCCUUAGAACUCAGUACUCUCAGACAGUUACAGAACUUAAGAAAUCUCAGUAUCGUUAGCAUUCUAGCCUCAUUUCAAUACUUAUCUCAGAUCUAGAAGUAUUCAAGUGUUCAGUUCAGACCUCAGUAGCAUUCAAGUAAUCAAUUCAGAGCUCAGUAUCAUUCAGUUAGAUAACGAGAUUCAGUAGUGUUCCAUCAGAUAACGGAACCAAGUGAACUCAGCUCAACUCAGUUACUUAGUAUGAUCAGUAACAAAUUCAGCCCAGUCUAAGUUCAGUUAAGAAUCAUUUCUGAGUCCUUCAGUUGGGAGUAGUAACUAGCACCGAGCGAGUGCAGUGAUGACGGCUUCCCAGUUAGAGAGGCAGAGUUGUUAGUAACAGUCCCUGAACUCUAGAACUGUGUAGCCAGCGCAGGAUCAGGAGUCACCCAUUAGAUUAAGGCUUGACUAUCAUACUGCCUUAGGUUUGACUUCCUGUUUAGGGUCACCCAUUAGAGAGGCUUGACCCUAGUAGAGGUCUUUACCCGUGGCACGGGAUUGACACCCUUCCAGCUAGGGUUACAGGUUGUACCCCACCAGUUCAGAUUUGGGGCAUGUCGGUUAAGUGAGAACUCCCAUAAUUGCAGUUUCAGUAUCAGUCUUCAGAGUAGCACUCAAAAAUCAGGACUGAGACAGUCACCCAUCUCAGUAAAGAACUUAGAUAGUUCCAUAGAUUUAUGGACCACCCAUUAGAUAGGCCUGGUCUCAUAUAAAGUUAAUCCGUAUCAGUACUCAUAGAUCCAGAGAUAACCCGUUAGAUAGGCCUGAUAUCAGAUUUAGUUAAUUAUUCUCAUUGUCAGAUUCAGAGAUCUUCCGCUAGAUAGGUAUGAUCUCAGACAUAAUCAUUUCUUAUCAUUAAUAGUAGAUUCAGGGAUCAUCCGUUAGAGAGGUUUAAUCUUAGAUUUAGUCAGUCGAUAGUAGCAAACUUAGAAUUCAGUUAUUGCUAUGAGUAGAUUCCGUUAAUCAGCUUUUGUAUCAUCAAUUUCAGAGAUCGCUCACUAGAUAUGACUGAUCUCAACUUCAGUACCCAGUUAUCAAUAUCGGAGGAUUCAGUUAUUCAAUACAUCAGUAUUAGUAGUGAGUUCAAACGUCAGUAAAGCAGUAUCUGAGUCUCAGUAUUCAGAGUCAUGAUGACUUUAGUUAUGGUUUGUGCAUUCAUGCAUAUGUCCUCAUUCAGUACUCUCAUGAUUAUUCAGUUAAGUAAUUGUUCAUGCAUAAGCCCUUGUAUUUAGCCUUACCUUAUCUUGCAUACUCUGUACAUUCCUACGUACUGACGCAUUUGCGCUAUGGUGUUUUACUUUACACCAUAGGUUCAGAGGCACGAGAUCCAGAGCACCCUUAGCAAUCCAGACCUAGUCAGCAGCAGUAGACGUAGUAGUGAGUCCUCUUCAUUCGAGGAUGAUCCUUAUUUUAUUAUGGCAUUAGACUCAGAUUAUUUUUAGUAGAUGGAGUUAGUUGGAGAUAUGUACCAUCAACUCCAUAGUUCAGACAAUUAUAGGUUUUUCGGACAGAUGUAUCAGUAUUCAGUUUUUAAUUUUAAGUAUUUUAGAUAUUUUGAACCUUAUGGCAAGUUUUCGCCAGUUUUCUGCAUUUAUUAUAUUAUAUUAUAUUAUAUUAUAUUAUAUUAUAUUAUAUUAUAUUAUGUAGUGCUCAGGCAUAGAUAUCAGCAGAGGGUUAGCUUGAGGUCCCUCGGGGUCAUGAACACCGUGUGAUAUUUCGAUUCCAGAAAAUCGGGGCAUUACAAUCAUCUUAGAGUCUUUGGGUGUAAAACUUUUGUGCAUGUUCCUAAAAAUGAAAGAUCAAAGUUGGAUGUUAAAACUAGACAAUGUAUCUUCAUUGGUUACGUUCAAGAUGAAUUUGGGUAUCGUUUCUAUAAUCUAGUUGAGAAGAAACUUGUUAGAAGUCGUGACGUUGUAUUCUUUGAAGAACAAACAAUUGAAUAUUUUGACAAAGCUGAGAAGGUUGAUUCUCAGAGUAAUGAGAGUCUAGUUGAUGUUAAUCCAAUUUUUUUAACUACUGCUCCCGAAUCAAAUCUUCAUGAUGAUGAAAAUCAAGUUGAUAAUAAAGAUGAUGAUCAUGUUCAGAAUGACCAGCAUAAUGUUGUUCAUGCUCCAUUGUAAGUUGAUAUGGUUGGUCAACAACCAGUUGUUGAUGUUCUAGAGAGUUCUCUCGGAUGAUUUACUAGAGAGAGAAUACCUUCAUCUCGUUAUUCUCCCAAUGAGUAUGUACUCUUGACUGACGGGGGAGAACCUGAGAGUCUUGAUGAGGCCCUGGAAAGUGAAGAAAAAGAAAAGUGGUUUGAUGUUAUGGAAGAUGAGAUUAAAUCUUUGCAUGAUAAUCAUACCUUUGAUUUGGUUAAGCUGCCUAAAGAUACAAAAGUUUUAAAAAAUAGAUGGGUUUUUCGGAAGAAGCAUGAAGAUGGUAACCCAAUUCUAUGGUACAAGGCUAGAUUGGUUGUGAAGGAAUUUAACUAGAAAAAGAGAGUUGAUUUUGAUGAGAUAUUCUCUUCAGUUUUGAAGAUGUCAUCCAUUCGUAUGGUUCUAGGCUCAGCUGCAAGUCUAGAUUUAGAGGUUGAGCAAAUGAAUGUUAAAACUUCUUUUCACUAUAGUGACUUAGAUGAAGAAAUUUAUAUGGAGCAGCCCGAAGGUUUUGAAGUCAAGGAAAAAGAUAAUUAUAUUUGCAAAUUGAAGAAGAGCUUGUAUGGUUUGAAACAAGCUCCUAGGCAAUGGUACAGGAAGUUUGGUUCCUUUAUGAGUCAGCAGGCCUUCAAGAAGACUACUUCAGACCAUUGUAAUUUUGUGCAAAAAAUUUUUGAUGGUGACUUUAUUAUUGUGUUGCUUUAUAUUGAUGAUAUGCUUGUUGUUGGUCAUAAUGCUUGCAGGAUUCAAAAGUUGAAGUAAGAGUUAAGUAAGUCUUUUUCUAUGAAAGACAUAGGACCAACAAGAUAGAUUCUUGGCAUGCAGAUUGUCCGUGACAGAAAGGCCAAGAAGUUGUGGUUAUCACAAUAGAAGUAAAUUCAGAAAGUACUUUGAAGGUUCAACAUGGAUAAGGCUAAGGUUGUCAGUACACCUUUAGCUAUGCAUUUCAAAUUGAGCACGAAACAGUGUCCUUCCAGUGAUGAUGAGAAAGAAGAUGUGAAGAAAGUUCCUUAUGCUUCAGCCGUUGGUAGUUUGAUGUAUGCAAUGGUUUGUACAAGACUGAAUAUUGCUCAUGUUGUUGGUGUUUUUAGUCUUUUUAUUUCUAAUCAGGAAGAGAACAUUGGAAUGCUGUGAAGUGGAUUAUGAGAUAUCUUUGUGGAACUUCUAGUUUGAGUUUUGUUUUGGUACAGGGAAGCCCAUUCUUUGUGGUUAUACUGAUUCAGACAUGGCUGGUGAUGUUGAAACUCGCAAGUUACUUCAGGUUGUUUGGUUACUUUUGCAGGGGGAGCUGUGUCUUGGCAAUUCAAGUUGUAAAAAUGUGUUUCUCUAUCUACUACUGAAGCUGAGCUUAUUGCUUCCGUUGAAUCUUGUAAAGAAUUGCUUUGGAUGAAGAGAUUCUUGGGGGAACUUGGUGUUGCUCAAGAGAGGUAUAUGCUUUAUUGCGACAGUCAAAGUGCUAUAUAUCUUGGCGAGAAUUCUACAUUUCAUGGUCGGUUCAAACACAUUGAUGUGAGAUACCAUUGGAUUCGGGACGUGUUGGAUUCUAAGUUGCUUGAAUUGGAGAAGGUUCAUAUGGAUGAUAAUGGUUCCGACAUGAUGACUAAAGUUUUGCCUAGAGGGAAUUUUGAAGAUUGUUGCGUGAUGUCAGGAUGGCGGUCUCCUCCAUAUAGUCAGGAUGGAGAGAAUUGUUGGGUCAUGGGUCUUUUCCCUUCCUAUGUGGAUAAAUGAAGUUCAAUUUGGACCAACCCACUUUUGCAGAUAGGCCCAUUAUUAUGGGACAUAUAUAAAGAUCUUUUUAGGUCUUAUUCACCAUCACAAAAGAGAGUUUUCAACAGCUAAAGAGAGAAAAGAGAGCUGAUUUUCGCUAAAAAAUUUCAGCCACAGCUGUCAACUUCAAAUUGCGAUUCCCGCUUCGUUUCUUGUCCAAUUGAGCUGAUUUUUGGACUGCUUGUUUCUCUCAUCUAACAGAUCUUGAUUUGGUGGCCUGUAGCUCUUGUUCUUCAUUCCCAAACAGUAGCUGCAUUUUGGUGUUUUCGCUCCUUUAUUUCUCUAGUGUUUGGUGUUGUGGUUUAUGUAAUGUUGCUUGUUGUUUAACACUUUUUUGGUGGCCAUUUUGGAGAACAAUAUUGUAAAUCUUUGGUGAUUAUAGUGGAGAUUUUGGUCCCGUGGUUUUUUACUCUUCACACCGAAGGAUUUUUUACGUAAAUUUGGUGUCUCUUGUUCUUCGUUUUAUUCUUGCCUUAUCGUAUUUGUAUGGUGAUUUAUUUGCUGCCAUAUUAUUUUAUUUUUCGUGGAUUUGCUUGUCUCCUCUUGGUUCAAGUUGAAAGGGAAAGUUUAGAUUUGGGAAUUCUUCCGCUGCUAUCCUGUCGUGCUCUAUGAUUGUGCCUUGCCCCUUUCCCAACAUAGUCGGCCCCCAAGAUGGUGUUGGGUUCAAAAUUGAUAAGACCAGGGGCGACUCAAUAUACCCGAUGACCUAAAGUGAAACUUCAAAAUAAAGCUUUUAUAUAUAUAUAUAUAUAUACUCCCCUAUUUAAAAAAGAAUAACUUACUUUCUUUUUUAGUCUAUUUAAAAAAGAAGAUCCCUUUCUUUUUUUGACAAUACUUUAAUUUCAACUUUCCACAUGACAUGUUUAGGACCAUAAAAUUAAAAGACAUUUUGGUACAUUGGACACAACUUUAAUUUAAUCCACAAGCUUCAAAAGUCUUCUUUAUUUUCUUAAACUUUGUGUCAGGUCAAAGUAGGUCAUUCUUUUUGAAACGGAGGGAGUAUAUGUGUGUGUGUGUGUAUAUAUAUAUAUAUAUAUAUAUAUAAAGAGAGAGAGAGAAUCUAUUUUAGAAGUUCUUGAGAUGUAAAAUUAUGAAUAAAAUUAUUUUAUAAUGGUUUUCUCAAAAUAAUUCCUUUUCAAUUGAUAAUAUACCUAAUUCAUUUAAUUUCUCUUGAGACAUUGUUGAUUUUAAGAGUCUGUUUAGAUAGGAUUAAAAUCUGGUCAAAUCAACUUUUAAUAUGUUUUUUUUUUUUAGCUUUUUUUAGAUAUUUGGUAAAUUAAAAAGUGCUUAAAAUUUUUUAAAAAUUGAUUAAAAAAAGCAAAAAGUGAGAGGCUGGUACCCCCAGUUUUUACUUUUUAGAUUAAUUUUUUUUAUGUUGGACUAAACUAUUUAUCUUUUUAUCCUUUAUAUUUUUCGCUAAUUCCAAUAAUAUCCUAAAAUUGUAAUCCUUAAAUGUAUAGCUUUUCUUUCUUUUUCUCUUUUCUGCCUCUCUUCGUCCAUUCCCUCCAUUUCCACUUCAUCUUUAUUCUUUGUUUUCAGCGAAUCUAUCAUUACAUCGAAGGUUACAUAUUUUUUUUAACAUAACUAAAUUAUUACAUGUUUGCAAUAUUACAAUAUAAUACUAUUUUAUAUAUAAAAAAUUCCAAGAUCUUUAUUUUUUAACGUUUAAAAAUAAAAAAGUAACUUAUAUUUAUAAAUUGAUCUCACAUAAGUACUUUACGUCGAAAGUGUAAAUAGAAAUUAUUUUUGAAUGAUUAGAAUUAAAAUUUAUAAAUAAUUCACCUUAUUUAUGGUGUUAACAACUUUAAAGACAUUUAAGUCAUUUUGACAAUAAAAAAGUGCUUAUAAUCAUUUGUUUAUCAAUCACAUCAAUAACUUUUUUUUUUCACUUCAAACACUUAUCUACUUAAUUUAUAAGCACUUAUUUUAAACUUUUAAUCACUUAAGCUAAAAAACUUUUUUUUUAACCAUAUCCAAACGGGCUCUAAGUAAGAUUUUAUCAAUUUCUUUCAGCUGAAAAUUGUUAUAGAAACUCCAUAGACAAUAUAUGUAUUUGAAAAUUAAUAAAGUCUUUUAUCUUAUUAAAAUAUUUGCUACCUUUCUAUUUUCCUAUCCCACUUUAACAUUUUUUUUUAAAAAUUUAUUAAGCAAAAUAAUAAAAUACAAGGUGUAGUUUACUAAAUUAAACCUAUUUAUUUUUAUAAUGGUCUUCCCAAAAUAAUUUCUUUUCAGUUGAUAAUAUACCUAAUUCAUUUAAUUUCUCUUGAGACAUUGUUGAUUUUAAGUAAGAUUUUAUUAAUUUUAAUUUUAGAAAUUUCUUUCGGCUGAGGAUUGUUAUAGAAACUCUAUCGGCAAUAUAUGUAUUUGAAAAAUAAUAAAAAUAUUUAUCUUAUUAAAAUAUUUCUUAUCUCUCUAUUCCCCUAUCCCACUUUAACAUUUAUUUUAAUUUUUUUAAUAUUUAUUAAGAAAAAUAAUAUAGUACAAGGUAUAGUCUACUAAGUUACACCUAUUUAUUAAUAUUUUUUUUUAAAAUAUUGAGUAGUAUUAAAAAAAAAAUCUUCUUUAAUGUUAAAUGUGAAGUUGAAAACAACUGUCAAUUUAGUUUUGAAUCUUAAAGUGAUAAUUUUUUGAGCUAAAACAAUAUUAAAAUGAGACAGAAAAAUAUUAAAAAGUUCUCAACAUUUUUUAAUGAAUUUUUUUUAUAGUACUAUAAACCUAUAAUUACUAAAAAUAAGGGCCCCAAAAUUGGGGGCCUAAAGCGUUGGUUUCAGUUGCUUUAUGCUGAAGCCAGCCUUGGAUAAGACGUCAUGCAGAAGUUUAUAAUUUGCAAAUCAUGGAGGUCAAAAUUUUCCCGAAAAGAAAAAUAUAUUUAAAAACAUAUUAUUAACAUGGUUUGGUCAAAAGAUCUACAUAUGAAAACUAAUAUUGAAAAAUAUAAAAUCUGUUGAGAGAAAUUUUCCCCCUAAACAAGACUCUUUGUUGACUAAUCUUUCUCUUUGUUGUCUAAUCUUCUAUUUAUAAAGAUACAAAACUAUAAGAAUAGACCUAAUAGGAAAAAUAUUUUCUCGAAGAAAGAAAUAUUUUUCCACCAAGAAAGACAACUCUAAUUAUGGUAGAAAAUAAGGUAAAAUAGGAAAUUGAGGGUAAAUCCUAACAAAUCUCUCCUUGGUUGAAUUUUCUGACAAAUCAAUUUUAAUAUUCUUCUGCACAUAAUCUUUAUAUAUCACUGCUUCUUAGCAUGAUUAAAAGUGAUAUGGGUUAAAAAUUGGAGUUUUGUGUGUUAAAAAUAAAAGCAUGAAUUAUAUUAUUGGGGCCAUGAGUUAUAAGUAAAUAGGAAUAAAAGUGGAGCCUACACAGAUUAAAAGUGUAACUCAUGCGUUAAAAGUAUAUACACAAAUUGGAAGGAUGCCAAGCAUAGAAGUUAGUAAGGGUUGAAUGUUGGAGCUCAUGCGUUAAAGCAAGUAUAAGUUAAAAAUUGAUUUUGAUUUUAAAGAUGAAUAAGCAGCAGGAUUAUUGAAAAUUUAUUUGUAAUUUUUCUCCACAUGUAGUAUCUUGACCUUUUUUCUUUUGACAAAAAAUCCAUUAUCGCCGAGUUAAUUGCAACUUUGAUCUCAACAUGUUUUCAAUUUGAACCAUUAAACUAUAUGCGCUGAUACCACUAGUUGGGUUCGAAAUUGAUACAACGUCAUUAGUAAACUUAUAGUUUGUAAAUCAUGAAGACAAUAAUUCAAACGAAAAGAAAAAUAUACUAAAAAAACUAUUAUUAAUAUCCAAACGACCUACAUAUGAAAAACUAAUAUUAAAAAAUAUAAUACCUAUUGAGAAAAAUUUUUCCUCAACUUUUUGAUAAAUAAAUUAUGGAUACUAUUGUGUUAUGACUUGAGAAGAGAAAUUUUCUAUUUAUACAAGAACAAAACUCUUCCUCUUAAGAAAGAAAAAACUUAACAGGAAGAAAUAUUUUACAAGGAAUUUUUUUUCCACCAAUAAAGUUAAUUCUAGUAGAUUUUUUUUUUUAAGAAAAAGAAUUGAGCUAGACAGACGCAUGGGUUUUGCUCGUGCGAACUCGAAACAAAAAUAAGUCAAGAAAUAAACAAAGUGAUCAAAAUAAAUCACCUAUUUAAUAAGUUACCAAAAUAGGCUAAAUGUAAUAAAUUAUUACGUUUUAUACUUUUUUUAACGGUCAACUAACGGAUGUGAACAGUAAAAAACUUUUUGUAAAACAUAAUUAAUUAUUACAUUUUACAAAAAGUUUUAUAAAAUGUAAUAAUUAAUUACGUUAUAUAAAUUUUUUUGUAAAACGUAAUAAUUUCUUACGUUUUAAACAUAGAUUAAAAAAAUAGUGUGUUGUCCCAUCAUAGUCAAAUCAAUACAAUUUCUGUAUAGCGUAAUACUCCCUCCGUUACAUAAUAAAUGAAUUAUUGAAUUUUGGCAUACAUAUUAAGAAAAAAGCAUUAAAGACAUAAAUUUAACACAACUUUCCAUUUUUAUCCCAAAAAAGAAAAAUUUGACCUUAUAAUACCUUUUUAAAAGUUAAUUGAUUAUCAAAUCAUAAGGGUAAAUUUGAAAAAAAAUUCAAUGAUUCACUUAUUUUGAAACACCAAUAAAUACCCAACAAUUCACUUAUUUUGAAACGGAGGGAGUAUAUUAUUACAUUUUACUCCCAUCGUUUCAUAUUAAUUGAAUCUAUGGACUUGACACACCCAUUAUGAAAAAUAUUUAUUAGGAGUCUAUUUUACCAAAUUAGUCUUAUUAAUUAUGCUUUAAAAAUAUAAAUUUGAGUUAUACAAUUUGUUUAGUCAUUUGAUUUGAUGAUAAGAAUUUUAUUGGAAGAACAUAUUAAAAUCUUCUUGAUUUCAUUAAAAAGAUAAUUAAAUUGAAAUAAAUAUUUUUAAAAAAAGAACCAACUAAAAAAAACGAAAGAGUACAAAAAUUUUAUGAUUUGACUAGAAGUUGAUGGGACAAUACACCUUUUUUUAAGCAAAGUUGGAUUGAGAACACAAUUUUUUUGAGAGACUCCGGCUAAUGGGACAAUAAAGUAAAUAAAGUAAGUAAAAGAUGUGACGUGUAGGUGGGGUUACUGAUAUAAUUCAUAACAAAUUAUUAUGAUUUACAAUUUUUUUCGUAAAACGUAAUAAAUUAUUAUGUUUUACAAAAAAAAUUUGUAAAAUGUAAUAAUUUAUUACGUUUUACAAAAAUUGGAUUUGACUAUGAUGGGACAACAUGCUGUUUGUUUUUAUCCAUGUGUAAAACGUAAUUAAUUAUUACGUUUUAUAAUUUUUUUUGUAAAACGUAAUAAUUUAUUACGUUUUUCAAAAAGUUUUUUAGUGUUCACCCUGAUCAGUUGAUCGUUAAUAAAAAAAUAUAAAACAUAAUAAUUUAUUAUGUUUAACUUAUUUUAAUAAUUUAUUAAAUAAGUGACCUAUUUUGAUCACUUUAUUUAUUUCUUGACUUAUUUUGAUUCCAAAUUCUGCUCGUGCUACGUCUAGUUCGCCACUGAUCGAAGUAGCAAGAUAGUACAAAAUUAGUUAUGCCAACAUUUUAGGCUACGGAAUUUAGUUAUGCCAAUCUUUUCUAAUAAUUCGCCACUGAUUGCAAUUUCCAGGUACCAAGAUAGUACUACAAAAUUUAGUUAUGCCAACUUUUUAGGCUACGGAAUUUAGUUAUGCCAAUCUUUUCUAAUAUUCCGUACGUUUCGAAAUAAAUGAAUUGUUAAAUUUUGACAUACAAAUUAAGAAAAAAGCACAAAAACAUAAAUUUAACAUAAAUUUUCAUUUUUACCCUUGAAGUCUCUUUUACCCCCCCCAAAAAAAAAGUUACAGUCUCUUUUGCUUGUCAAAUCAUAAGGGUAAUUUUGAAAAAAAAAAUUAACGAUUCACUCAUUUUGAAACACCAAUAAAUAUCCCAAUAAUUCAUUUAUUUCGAAACGGAUGGAGUGCAAUUUUCAUAGCAUUCUGGAAAUUAUCUUACACACGUGCAUUUUAUAUAUCUAAGUCAUUAUCUUACGUAUACUCGGUGAAAAUGCUGUAGUUUGUUAUGCGGACAAAGUUAUUCCAGGAUUAUAUUUUUAAAAUUAUAAUCCCAAGACUAACUUUUUCCACUUUUGAGGUGGCAUAAGUAGGGGUAGAUCUAUUAAGGCCCAUUAGGAUGCCAUGCCACUUUCAAACUUCGAUAGAAAUUUUCUCUCUCUGUAUAUAUAGGUAUACAUAUAAACUGAUAUAUUCAAAUAAUAAACGUGCCACCCAAAAAAUAAAAGUAUCAUCUAGUGCAAGUGGUAAAACGCCACCUUUAUGGCCCAAAGGUUGCGGGUUUGACCUCAGUUGGCAGCUAAUUUUUUUUAAAAUAAUUAAUUUUAAUCAAGAAUGAAUUGUUGAUUAAAGCAGCAUAAGUUUUACUAAUAUAUUAUAUAUGUUGAAAGUUGACUUAAUAUGUAUAAUUAAUUAUUAUUUCACAAGUUGUCACAAAAAUCCUAUCCCUCCAAAUUUCCAAAUCGAUCGACUUCUGCUUUCUCCUUCUUUCCUAGCUGCAGCUGUUGCCCGUCGGAUUCUUUGUUGUGUCGGUAAAGGCUCACGGCCUCAGCAUCAGAGCAUCCGUUGCUAAGACGAAUAAUCUAGUUGAUUUAAUAGAUAAGUUUACUCAGUACCCGAAGAGUCCAAAUCCUAAAUCCAACUCUCGGGAUAAGACAACACCUAGUUUAAGAUACAAAUUUAUUCUGGGAUUAAUUAUAAUCAUUUUGAGUACAGUAUUUGUCAUAGCAAUUAUGCCACUAUUUACAUGUCUCGUAAAUCAGAUUUUGGAGUCUCGCUCUUGUUAUAAAUAUGGAUCUGAUCAUAUCCCAAUAUCAGGUAUCCAUCUAGUAAAUAAUGUCAAAAAGAGAUAUAGAGUUGUUAAAUAAAAAUAAUGUUGGAGAUGAAACUCAUACUGAGCUUCUCGUAGCACAGGCACACAUAUGGAACCAUGCAUUCAGCUACAUCAAUUCAAUGUCACUCAAAUGUGCAAUUCAGCUUGGAAUUCCAGAUAUCAUCCACAACCAUGGCCGGGCCAUGACGCUUUCUGAUUUGGUGAAUGCGCUCCCUAUCGAUGACAAAAGCAAAGGUUUGGAUUGUGUUUAUCGUCUCAUGCGUAUUCUAACUCAUGCAGGCUUCUUUAUAAAAACCAAUAAAGAUACUAAUGAAUUGGAUCGAGAGAAUAUUAUUUAUGUGCUCACAUCAACUUCAUGUCUCCUCCUUAAAGAUGAACCUUUGAGCGUGAUCCCUUAUCUACAAGCACAGUUUGAUCCAAUUUUAAUGGGCCAUGGCAUUAUCUCAGCCAAUGGUUCCAAGAUGGCGAAUCUAGUACUAUAUUCGCGGUUGCCCAUGGCAAACCCUUCUUUGAAUAUAUGAAGAAAGAACCAAAGCUUAAUCGUGUAUUUAAUGAAUCCAUGGCUAGUGAUGCCAGAUUGGUUAUAAGUACAGUGAUUGAAAAUUGUAAAGGAGUUUUUGAAGGGUUGAAAUCAUUGGUGGAUUUAGGAGGCAGCACUGGAACCGUGGCUAAGUUUAUUGCCAAUGCAUUUCCACAAAUAAAUUGCACUGUCUUGGAUCUGCCGCAUGUAGUUGAAGGGUGUGAAGGGAGCAAGAACCUGAUCUAUGUCGGAGGAGACAUGUUUAAGUUCAUUCCUCCUGCCGAUGUAAUUUUA
rnacentral:lncRNA from 1 species